rnacentral:rRNA from 1 species
AACCCGGCUUGCCGGUUCUCUGGUGAAUCAUAAUAACUUCUAGAUCGCAUAUGCCUUCACGGGCGGCGAUGGGUCAUUCAAGUUUCUGCCCUAUCAGCUAGAUGUUAGUGUAUUGGACUAACAUGGCUAAUACGGGUGACGGAGGAUUAGGGUCCGAUCCCGGAGAGGGAGCCUGAGAAACGGCUACCACUUCCAAGGAAGGCAGCAGGCGCGUAAAUUACCCAAUCCCAAUACGGGGAGGUAGUGACAAGAAAUAACAAUAUCGGGCUCUUUAUGGGUCUGGUAAUUGGAAUGAGUAUAAUCUAAAAACCUUAACGAGGAUCAAUUGGAGGGCAAGUCUGGUGCCAGCAGCCGCGGUAAUACCAGCUCCAAUAGCAUAUGCUAAAGUUGUUGCAGUUAAAAGGCUCGUAGUCGAAUUUAUGGCCCUGUGCACCCUUCCCACCCUCUAGUAGGGUGUGUGUUGGUGUGCACGGGUCAUUGUUCUGGUGAUCAGGUUCGCCCUUGAUUGGGUUGGAUUUGUGAUUCAGAUCAUUUACUGUGAAAAAAUCAGAGUGUUCAAAGCAGGCAGCAAUGCUUGUAUGGUUCAGCAUGGAAUAAUAAGAUAAGACUUCGGUUUUGUUUUGUUGGCUAUAAAGAACCAAAGUAAUGAUUGAAAAGGAUAGUUGGGGGUGCUAGUAUUCAGUGGUUAGCGGUGAAAUGCGAGGACCCAUUGAAGACUAACUUAUGCGAAAGCAUUCACCAAGGAUAUCUUUAUUGAUCAAGAACGAAAGUUGGGGGAUCGAAGACGAUCAGAUACCGUCGUAGUCCCAACCAUAAACUAUGCCAACUGAGGGUUGGCAGGCAUUAAUACCUGAUUCUGUCAGAACUCUAUGAGAAAUCAAAGUCUCUGGGUUCUGGGGGGAGUAUGGUCGCAAGGCUGAAACUUAAAGGAAUUGACGGAAGGGCACCACCAGGAGUGGAGCCUGCGGCUUAAUUUGACUCAACACGGGGAAACUUACCAGGUCAGGACAUAGUAAGGAUUGACAGAUUGAGGAUCUUUCUUGAUUCUAUGGAUGGUGGUGCAUGGCCGUUCUUAGUUGGUGGAGCGAUUUGUCUGGUUAAUUCCGUUAACGAACGAGACCUCAGCCUGCUAAUUAGUUGGACCGAUGUUUCAUUGGGCUCAACUUCUUAGAGGGACUACCGGAUUUCAUCCGGGGGAAGUAUGAGGCAAUAACAGGUCUGUGAUGCCCUUAGAUGUCCUGGGCCGCACGCGCGCUACACUGAUACAAUCAACAAGUAUUUAUCCUUAGCUGAAAGGCUUGGGUAAACUUAGAAAUUGUAUCGUGAUAGGGCUUGACGGUUGUAAUUUUUUGUCACAAACGAGGAAUUCCUAGUAAGCGCAAGUCAUCAACUUGCAUUGAUUACGUCCCUGCCCUUUGUACACACCGCCCGUCGCUCCUACCGAUUGAAUGUUCCGGUGAACACUCCGGAGUCAUGGUUUUGUUUGGGGAAACUCAAGCUUAAUCAAUUGGCAAAGUUGUGUAAGCCUUAACAUUUAGAGGAAGGAAAAGUCGUAACAAGGUU